rnacentral:tRNA from 3 species
AAUCCCUUAGCUCAGUUGGCAGAGCGCUGGACUUUUAAUCCAAGUGUCGUCGGUUCGAGUCCGACAGGGAUUAC